rnacentral:rRNA from 1 species
CGGACCAAGGAGUUUAGCGUGUGCGCGAGUCACUGGGUGGAAAACCCAAAGGCGGAAUGAAAGUGAAAGGGGCCUCUGGCUCCCGAGGGAAGAUGGGCGUCCGUCCUUCGCAGGCGGCGCCCCGCACUCCCGGGGCGUCUCUUUCUCGUUACGAGUGGAGGCGCACCUGUAGCGCACACGCUGAUACCCGAAAGAUGGUGAACUAUGCCUGGCCAGGACGAAGCCAGGGGAAACCCUGGUGGAGGUCCGCAGCGAUUCUGACGUGCAAAUCGAUCGUCGGAGCUGGGUAUAGGGGCGAAAGACCAAUCGAACCAUCUAGUAGCUGGUUCCUUCCGAA